GACGUAGGGCGCGAGCGUUGUCCGGAUUUAUUGGGCGUAAAGAGCUCGUAGGCGGCUUGUCGCGUCGUCCGUGAAAACUUGGGGCUCAACCCCAAGCUUGCGGUCGAUACAGGCAGGCUGGAGUUCGGUAGGGGAGACUGGAAUUCCUGGUGUAGCGGUGAAAUGCGCAGAUAUCAGGAGGAACACCGGUGGCGAAGGCGGGUCUCUGGGCCGAUACUGACGCUGAGGAGCGAAAGCGUGGGGAGCGAACGGG
rnacentral:rRNA from 1 species